UGAAAAGAUUGUGAUUAUUAAAGAUGAAUUAUUGUGAGUUCCUUCCAAAUGUACUUGAUUUGUCGCGCAUGAAAAAUCUAGAAAAGGUAUGUCUGAGACUUUGCCAUUCAUUAGUCGAGAUACGUGGCCUUGAAGAAUUGGGAUCCCUUUGCUCCCUAUCAGUCAGCUGUUGCCCUUCUUUGCAGAUGAUGUCAGAUCUAUCGAAAUUGAAAAAGCUUCCGAAGCUCCAAGUAUCAAUUUGUUCGAAUCUAAAUAGGGAGAAAAUCUAUUGGAAUUAUUGGAAUGGAGAGUUUGGGGGUGACAUCUGCAACGUCGGUGGCGUCGACUUGUCGUCUGUCCCCGACUGGUUCAAAAGUUAUGCAUUCCUCGACUCGCAUAUCCCCUACAAGAGCCCUAAUGCUGGAGAGUUUGGGGGUGGCAUCUGCGACGUCCACGGCUUCGAUUUGCCGUCUAUCCCCGACGAGUUUCUUUCAUUCUUCAGCUAGCCUGACCCCUAUACGAGCCCUAAUGCUGGAGAGUUUGGGGGUGACACCUUAGAUGCUGCCUCCACCUCCCCAUGAGUCCCAUCGGCGGCUCUGAUUCGUCAUUCGCGUCCGGCGAGCUCAGACCGGCUGCAUUCUUCGGUGUGUUGCCGCUGCCUCCGCCUCCGCCAUCGCCUCUAGGAGCCCCAUCAGCAGCUGGAAUAUGGCAGCACCAAGUUUCGCAUCAUAACUUGCACUAACAAUGGUAAAAACCCCACGUUUCAAGAGAAGUCUUUGUUCACACUCGUUGAAGGGCUUGGGGAGUUGAAUCUUGCGGUUUGGAACAACAAUAUUCUCACUUUCGACGACUUCAGCGGCAGUGGAAAGGUUUGGCUCCGUAAGGUUCUUUCUCAGAGCUUCAAUAAUACGGCCUAGCCUCUUCGGACUAAAAAACGGACAGCUGAAGUAAUGGAGUUUUUAUAUAUUCCCAAGGGUGUGAGACAGGUGUUGUUCAGAACCUUGAUACUGCCAAGAAAUUAUUCUUGCUAAGGGCUUGGAACUCGAAGAUGUACUGCCAGGAGUGUAUACAAUCCAUGUUUGCCUUUAAAAUUGCUUGGUGCAAAAGGAUCACCUAUGAGAUGCAUCCUUAUCAAAAAAACUUCUCCAAGGGAGUAGAAAUUAUCAAAAAUGCUGAAUGAGAAAGGCAUUGCAUGCAUCUCCUCAAGAUGCAGACUUAUUUUGAUGGGACACGUUUUGCGGAGAAUGUGGACUUUAGCGAUCAUUUGAAUAGGUGAUAUUACUAUAGGCAAAGCAGAGGCUAGGGUUAUGUUCACAUAAAUAAUGUUAUGCUUUCAAAAUAAGACUUGUCUGGAUUGUUUCUCAUGUUUCUUCUUUUCUAUUACUAAAGAGUUUCUGGGGAUUGAGUUCAUUUAUUAUAGUGACUCAUGAAUAGAAAGCCUGUCCAUGCAAAUUCUCUCUUCCAUGGUGUUGUAACCAUCUUUGCAGUUACCUUUA